rnacentral:rRNA from 1 species
GACGAACGCUGGCGGCGUGCUUAACACAUGCAAGUCGAACGGAAAGGCCCUGCUUUUGGGGGGUGCUCGAGUGGCGAACGGGUGAGUAACACGUGAGUAACCUGCCCUUGACUUUGGGAUAACUUCAGGAAACUGGGGCUAAUACCGGAUAGGAGCUCCUGCUGCACGGAGGGGGUUGGAAAGUUUCGGCGGGUGGGGGUGGACCCGCGGCUUAUCAGCUGGUGUGUGGGGUAGUGGGGCACCGAGGCUUUGAGGGGUAGCCGGCCUGGGAGGGGGAUCAGCCACACUGGAACGGAGACGCGGGCCAGACGCCUGCGGGAGGCAGCAGUGGGGAACAGUGCACAACGGGCGCAAGCCUGAUGCAGCCAUGCCGCGUGGAUGACGAAGGCCUUGGGGUGGUAAAGUACGGUGAGCGGGGAGGAAGGGAGUAAAGUGAAUACCUGUGCUCAUUGACGUUACCCGCAGAAGAAGCACCGGCUAACUCCGUG